UCUGUCUGACUAGUGUUCUGUAAAAUAAGGUUUAAACCGCUGGUCUCUGUCUGACUAGUGUUCUGUAAAAUAAGGUUUAAACCGCUGGUCUCUGUCUGACUAGUGUUCUGUAAAAUAAGGUUUAAACCUCUGGUCUCUGUCUCUGUCUGACUAGUGUUCUGUAAAAUAAGGUUUAAACCGCUGGUCUCUGUCUCUGUCUGACUAGUGUUCUGUAAAAUAAGGUAUAAACCGCUGGUCUCUGUCUGACUAGUGUUCUGUAAAAUAAGGUAUAAACCGCUGGU